ACGGUACCGGCAGAAGAAGCACCGGCUAACUACGUGCCAGCAGCCGCGGUAAUACGUAGGGUGCGAGCGUUAAUCGGAAUUACUGGGCGUAAAGCGUGCGCAGGCGGUUAUGUAAGACAGAUGUGAAAUCCCCGGGCUCAACCUGGGAACUGCGUUUGUGACUGCAUAACUAGAGUACGGCAGAGGAAGGUGGAAUUCCGCGUGUAGCAGUGAAAUGCGUAGAGAUGCGGAGGAACACCGAUGGCGAAGGCAGCCUCCUGGGCCAGUACUGACGCUCAUGCACGAAAGCGUGGGGAGCAAACAGGAUUAGAUACCCUGGUAGUCCACGCCCUAAACGAUGUCAACUAGUUGUUCGGUGAGGAGACUCAUUGAGUAACGCAGCUAACGCGUGAAGUUGACCGCCUGGGGAGUACGGCCGCAAGGUUAAAACUCAAAGGAAUUGACGGGGACCCGCACAAGCGGUGGAUGAUGUGGAUUAAUUCGAUGCAACGCGAAAAACCUUACCUACCCUUGACAUGCCAGGAACUUGCCAGAGAUGGCUUGGUGCUCGAAAG
rnacentral:rRNA from 1 species